UACGUAGGGUGCAAGCGUUGUCCGGAAUUAUUGGGCGUAAAGAGCUCGUAGGCGGUUUGUCACGUCGGAUGUGAAAACCCGAGGCUUAACCUCGGGCCUGCAUUCGAUACGGGCUGACUAGAGUUCGGUAGGGGAGACUGGAAUUCCUGGUGUAGCGGUGAAAUGCGCAGAUAUCAGGAGGAACACCAAUAGCGAAGGCAGCUCGCUGGGACGUUACUGACGCUGAGGCGCGAAAGCGUGGGGAGCAAACAGG
rnacentral:rRNA from 1 species